CCGGGUAUAGCCUAGUUGGUAAGGCGCCACAUUUGGGAUGUGGAGAUCGGACGUUCAAGUCGCCCUACUCGGA
rnacentral:tRNA from 1 species